UUCGCGACCAAAUAAUACAUCAUUAUAGGAUGAUGACAUUUAUCGAGUGAAGGUCGUUGUGUACCAUAUGGGUUGGUUGUCCUCUUAACCAAGGAGUGUGGUGACACUGGUAUAGUAUACAAGUGAGAUGUAGGAGUAUAUCAUCAUGAAACAAGUGACUCGCCUACUAAGCAUUCUGCUGUCAAGAGCUGCUCGCGAAGCAUAUGGAUAUAAGUGUCCCUCAGAUCUGAGAUCACCAUAGUGACUUGCAAGCAACUUAUUAUGCUUUGGUGUCGGACUAUCUGAAUUUCUAAUGCAGUGACGGAAGGCUACUGGGUACAGUCAAGUACUUACGAAGUCUGUGUGUGGAUCAAGAUGGGAUUAACCCCUCCAGAUUAUUGGAGUUGAUAUAUCAUUGUAUUUCAAUUUAGUAAAGCCUUGACCAGGGUAAUAUAUGAGAUAGAUUUAAAAGGUUGAAAUAUAAUGUGGAUGAAGCAAUCUCGGUUGAUAGUUAUCCUGAGACCAUCCUGAGCAUUCAGGGUCAAAAAGAUGAAUUAUGCGGUAAUCAUGUGCAUGGAUUCUGAAAUAUUUUUUUGCGAUAAUUCGACCUAUCUAGACAUCAAGAACUAUUGUUAG
rnacentral:lncRNA from 1 species